rnacentral:lncRNA from 1 species
UACAACAACAGGCAGUGCAGUGCAGUGGAUAGAGAGCCCUGGGGCUGGAGUCAGAAAGACCCAAGUUCAAAUCUAACCUCAGACACUCACCAGCUGUGAGAUCCUCAGCAAGUCAUGUAACCCUGCUGGCCUCAGUUUCCUCAUCUGCCAAGUGAACUGGAGAAGGAAAUGGCAAACCACGCCAGUAUCUUUGCCAAGAAAACCCCAAAGGGAGUCACAAAGAGUCGGAAGGGGCUGAAGUGGCUGAACCACGACCAUUUCUGACUUCAUCUUCAAGGCUUUCUCCCCCCUUCUCCUUCCCUCGAUUUCAAUAGAGAAUGGGUGCUUCUGGGAAGCUGGAGGCUGAUGUGAAGUCAGGGAGGGGCACGCCUUGUAGGAUGCUGUAACCAGGUCAAUUACCCAGCGUUUUUGCCCAUCUAGGAAUUCAGCUGCAAUCUCUGAAGGGCAGAAACACCAUUUUAAUGACAGGAGGGUAUCUUCUUCUUCUGCUUCUUCUUAUCUGCUCACCACCUGCGCUUGCUCGGGGCACCACACUCCUUUCUCCAGAUUAACGAGGGUCUGACUUGCAGUAAUAGGAAGGAACUUAGCCUGAAAUCUAACCAGAGGAGCCUGGCUUAACACCACAAAAGGGGGCCCCUGAGACAGAGCCUUCCAAAGCCAGAACCCGAUUAAGGAUCCCCAACUUUAUUCUGAGAAGACCCUAUUUAUUUUGGACGUUGAAUGCCUGGAUGAUGCCGAGGACUCGGUGUCGAUACCGUUCUUUCUUGGGUCUCCGUGGGCUCCUGAGGAGGUUGGGCCUGAAGCACCUGAGAGGAAGUUAUCCAGUGGCAUCCCCCAAAGGAUGGUUUCCCAGAAUGGGCUGGAAAAGCUGCAUAGGUGGUCGAGGGAGGAAGGGGAGCCUGGGUUAUCUCCACCAAGGUCUGAGAGGAAGAGGACUAGACGGGGUACGUAGGAGACUGGUCUACAGACGACCAUCGUUUCCAGAAUGCUUGGUUUCAGUGGUCACAGAUCUCUGAAUUUCCCUGAUCCUCAGUUUCCCCCGACACAAAAUGGGAAGAAUGCCAUUUGUCCUGGUGGCUUCAUGGAGUCAUUUGGAAAGCUCUGUCAAUGUCUGUGCUUGUUAGAUGCUGUUACCAUCCUCCAGCCUGACCUGACUAGACAGACACUGUCCUUAGAAGCUUUCUCCCUGAAGAGAGUGGCAGACGGAAAGGGAACCCUUGGGCAUGAAAGCAGGACACGGCAUGGGAUAAUUGCAGCCUGGACCGGCACCCUGGCUGCAGCCGCUCCUGCUUACGGCCCCGGUUCCCAAGUCUUCUGGCUUUUUGCCCUUUCCUCGGCCCCUGAAGAUAGUCACUGAGUUCUCCCCAUUCUUCAAGCGUGUGUCAUGUAGGAUAAAAGAGUCCAGGAUUGGGAUCCCAGCUCCCAACACGUACAGGCUGUGUGAUGAAGGACGAGCCAUUCAGAGGCAACCUCAACAUUCUUUUCUGUAAAAUGGGGCUAACGUGGUGCUACCAAUCUCAAGGGGAGUGACUUGGAGGAAAGUGCUUUGGAAGAAUAAGAGGCUAAUUGGAUGAAAGCUGCUGGAAGGCAGGGUCUCCUAGUCCCCCUGCCCAGACACAAUGCCUGGCACCCAAGAGGGGACUAAUAAAUGCUUUUUGAUUGCUUGAUUGACUUGUAGU